rnacentral:misc_RNA from 1 species
GAAAUGCGAUAAGUAGUGUGAAUUGCAGAAUUCAGUGAAUCAUCGAAUCUUUGAACGCACAUUGCGCCCCUUGGUAUUCCAUGGGGCAUGCCUGUUCGAGCGUCAUUUGUACCCUCAAGCUCUGCUUGGUGUUGGGUGUUUGUCCCGUCUCCGCGCGUGGACUCGCCCCAAAGUGAUUGGCAGCCGGCGUACUGGUCCCGGAGCGCAGCACAUGUCGCGCAAACGAGUGCCUUGGUACGGCGGCGACCAUAAGCCCCUCUCUCACGCUCUUGACCUCGGAUCAGGUAGGGAUACCCGCUGAACUUAAGC